rnacentral:lncRNA from 1 species
CAACAUCUUUGUUUGUAUGUGGUGCUGAGGAUCGAACCCGGGCCGCAUGCAUACCAGACGAGUGCGCUACCGCUUGAGCCACAUCCCCAGCCCAAACUGAGUGCUUUUGGCUGGGCCUCUGCACGCUUUGCAGGGCAAGUGUUCCUCUGCAGUGUGAGUUGUCUGUUAUCAAGUAAGGCCUAAGCAGCUAGUGCUAGCCUACCCACCUGUUGCACUUUUGGGCUCUCUGCAUGUGUGUCCACUGGCCUUGAAUACAGUGUGCCCUACAAGUGACAGGCUUCUCUGGGUCAUUUAUUCAUAGGGCCCCUCCAAUGUGAAGGGUGUGAUAGGGAUGGGUGGAGUUCUGGCCAGUGCACCUCCCAAAUUUCUCGAAUGGUGGGGACUCUCCCCAGUAUGAAUUUCAUGAUGGGGAAUAAGAUGUGAAUUUUGAAAUUGCCUUUACACUGUUCACAUUUGUGAGGUGGCUCUCUUGUUUGAAUUCUCCAAGAGCCACUAAGGUGUGACUUGAUGGACGGUUUUUCCACUUCCUCUGUGUUCACGGGGUUUCCCUACAGUGUGAGUGAGCUGUGAUUUCUGACUAUAAGCUCCCCGUGUGCAGGGUGCCCACAGGCCUCUCCAGGAGUGACCUGGUGGUGGACAGAGUGGGAGCUUGCAGGAAGGUUAUCAGUCAUUGUGAGGAUGGCCCUAGGCCUGAGCCUAAGCAACUCCAUUUUAAAAACUCCAGUUUGAAACUUGCAGGCUCACCAGGCACACCCACAGAGCCCUCCAAUGUGGCCUCAGACAAGUCACUUCCCCUGACCCUGAUCAACAGAGUGAAGCCCCUGGCAGUCUGUCCUCGCCUGAUAAGAGGGAAGGGCGAGAAGAUGGGGUGGGGGAGACACCAGACCAGAUGUUUCUGACCCCAGGGUAAAUGAUGUCACUGAGAAAUCCAGUGGUAGCUGAUAAGGAUUGAAAGGGGGGUCAAAAGCCCCCAAAUUUAAUAUAAAUAAUAGAGCUGAUGAACGGGAUUCACUAUAGCUGGAGAGCCUGAUGAGGACCUGACACCCCACUUGUCAUCGUUCCUGAUCCUCUGCGUGAUCUUCACCGCUCUCAAACUCUACCGCCUCGUCUGGACCUUGGUGAGAGCCGCAACUUCUCUCUAGAUGAAAGGCCAGGUGCUGAGGGGCUCCAUGUGAAGCUUUCAGAUGCCCCAAAACUUCCUUCUCAGUAUGGGCCUAUGCUGGUGGGUGAGGAGUGAACUCACACCAUGAGUGAACUCACCCUCUUCUCAAUUGGUUGUCCCCUCCACACCAGGAAAAGCCUGCCUGGGUUCCAGACCUGGUCACCGCAGUCUGAGUGGGUGGGCAUCUGCUGGACAUAAAGCCUAAGACUUAGGACUUUUGAACUUAUCCUGCAGAGGGGAUGUCUGUCGUUAGCCUGUCAUGAUCAGGUGUGUUUGCAGUGCUUAGACUUAAUCUAGAAUUAUUUGCUGUGGAUUGAUUAUGUCUAUUGCAGUGCCCAGCAUUAAGGAUUGUCGUUUUCUUGAUUAAGAACCUACAGAGUGAAAUGGUAUGGAGUGAUUUGAGUGAAUAAAGCAUUGAAAGGGGCAGAAGUGCAUGGACAUUCUUUAUGUCUCCCCUCGACUGCAUACUUUGCAAUUUUGCCCCCUUGUGGUUUUCUUCCACUGAGGAUUCUUUUAUGUUCCCUGAUAUUUGAACUGAGACUAAAAUAUCUUUGCCUGAUCCCUGGCACUCUUGGGUUCUUUUCCUCUAUGAAUUUGCUGGUGUAGAGUAAUACCUGGAUUAUCUUUGAAGCUCUUCCACAUCUGCCACAACUAUGGGUCACUGUCAUUCUGUAGAACUUUUAUGACUUAAAAAAUCUUUUCGUUAUACAUGGACAUAAUAUCUCCAUUUUAUUUAUUUUUUAUUUUUAAAAAAAAUAUGUUUUUUUCUCCUCGGUGGUGGCCCUCAGUCCCAUGAGACUUACAUAUGUCAAGACGGCGCCCCCUGCCUUCGGUGCUGCAGUUUCUCUGUUCCGUAAUCAAUGUCAUUCACAGGAGCUUCUUAAGUGACAAACGAAAUGAGCCCAGGGCAUGGAAAAUAUGAUUUCUAUAUUGGUUUGGGAUUGGCUAUGACCUCCAGCAUUUUCAUAAGAGGGAGUUUCAUUUUGAAAAAAAAAAAAAGGCCUUCUGCGACUUGCCAGAAAAGGAUCCAUGAGAGCAGGUCAAGGUGGCCAUGCAUAUCUUAAAGAACGGUUGUGGUGGGCUGGACUACUGUCAAUGGGGGCAGGCGAGGUGGCCAACUUCGCUGCAUAUGCCUUUGCACCAGCCACGCUAGUGACUCCACGGGAGCUCUCAGCGUCCUCGAAAGUGCCAUUCUUUCUUCAUACUUUCUAAAUGAAAGACUUGAUCUUCAUGGGAAAAUUGGAUGUUUGCUAAGCAUUCUAGGAUCUACAGUUAUGGUCAUCCAUGCUCCAAAGGAAGAGGAGAUUGAGACGUUACAUGAAAUGUCACACAAGUUAGGUGAUCCAGGUUUUGUGGUAUUUGCAACAAUUGUGGUCAUUGUGUCUUUGAUAUUAAUCUUUGUGGUGGGACCUCGCCAUGGACAGACAAAUAUUCUUGUGUACAUAACAAUCUGCUCUGUGAUUGGAGCAUUUUCAGUGUCCUGUGCAAAGGGCUUGGGCAUCACCAUCAAAGAACUGUUAGCUGGAAAGCCUGUGGUGCGGCAUCCCCUGGCCUGGGUUCUGCCUCUGAGCCUCCUCAUCUGUGUGAGCACACAGAUCAAUUACCUAAACCGGGCCCUGGACAUAUUCAACACUUCCCUUGUAACACCAAUAUAUUACAUUUUCUUUACAAGUUAUUCUUUUUAAGGAGUGGCAAGAUAUGCCUGCUGAUGAUAUCAUUGGGACUCUGAGUGGCUUCUUCACAAUCAUUGUGGGGAUAUUCUUGUUGCAUGCCUUUAAAGAUGUCAGCUUUAGUCUAGCAAGUCUGCCUGUGUCUUUUCGAAAAGAUAAUAAAGCAAUGAAUGGCAAUCUCCCUACUAUGUAUGAAGUUCUUAAUAAUAAUGAAGAAAGCUUAACCUGUGGAAUUGAACAACACACUGGUGAGAAUAUCUCAAGGAGAAAUGGAAAUCUGACAGGUUUUUAAGGUGCGAUUUAAAGGUUAAAUUAUGUUAUAGUG